rnacentral:tRNA from 1 species
GAGAGGUGUUUAGAACACUAAGAACUGCUAAUUCUUACCCCUGAAGUUAAAAUCCUC